CCUACGGGGGGCAGCAGUGAGGAAUAUUGGUCAAUGGCCGGAAGGCUGAACCAGCCAUGCCGCGUGAAGGUCAGUGCCCUAUGGGCGUUAAACUUCUUUUGUGCGGGAGCAAUAAUGGUCACGUGUGGCCAGACGAGAGUACCGUACGAAUAAGCAUCGGCUAACUCCGUGCCAGCAGCCGCGGUAAUACGGGGGAUGCAAGCGUUAUCCGGAUUUAUUGGGUUUAAAGGGUGCGUAGGCUGUGAGGUAAGUCAGCGGUGAAAUGCCCCCGCUCAACGGGGUGAAGUGCCAUUGAUACUGCCUUGCUGGAAUGCGGAUGCCGUGGGAGGAAUGUGUGGUGUAGCGGUGGAAUGCAUAGAUAUCACACAGAACACCGAUUGCGAAGGCAUCUCACGAAUCCGCGAUUGACGCUGAUGUACGAAAGCGUGGGUAUCAAACAGGAUUAGAUACCCGGGUAGUC
rnacentral:rRNA from 1 species